CAGGGAGACAACAAAAUGUUAAAUAUUAAUUUUGUCACCUUAGGUCGAUCGGUAUCUCACAUUCUUAAUUUAUUAAGAAUUUUAUUUCCUAAGUUUUUCUAGGUCACACCCAUUACUUUCCCUGGGCCAUUAGCUCAGGUGGUUAGAGCGCACCCCUGAUAAGGGUGAGGUCCCUGGUUCAAGUCCAGGAUGGCCCAUAUCUCUAUGUUGGGGGUAUAGCUCAGUUGGUAGAGCGCCUGCUUUGCAAGCAGGAUGUCAGCGGUUCGAGUCCGCUUACCUCCACUGAUUUCCACCUCUUCCAUAAUUUACAGAGGAAAAUGUUUUGAGUUGUGAUCAAAUUCUGAACGAAUCUAGCUUCCUAAUCAAAUUUAUUAAGAUGCUGGACUCAUUGAAUUAAUUUCAUUGUUUUCAGAGAACCUUGACAACUGCAUAGAUUAUUUUUAAAGACAAUAAGCAUCUUUAAUGAUGCAGAUUUAUUAUUUGUGCGAAUGCAUUAAAUAACAAUUCUAUUAAGCUGAUGCUUCAAUUUUUGAAGUUAUU
rnacentral:tRNA from 1 species